UACGAAGGGGGCUAGCGUUGCUCGGAAUGACUGGGCGUAAAGGGCGCGUAGGCGGUUCGUACAGUCAGACGUGAAAUUCCCGGGCUCAACCUGGGGACUGCGUUUGAUACGUGCGGGCUUGAGUUCGGAAGAGGGUCGUGGAAUUCCCAGUGUAGAGGUGAAAUUCGUAGAGAUGUGGAGGAACACCGAUGGCGAAGGCAGCCCCCUGGGCUAACACUGACGCUCAGGCACGAAAGCGUGGGGAGCAAACAGG
rnacentral:rRNA from 1 species